CGAGAACACUAGGCUACGUGACAGACCUGGAUGCCACCGACUUUCCUCCAGCCUGCUAGACACUAACAGCAGGAUGCGGUGGAGACAGGAAGGGUCAAGAGGCUACUCCCAAUGACCUGCGUGUCCAGCCCACCUGAAGGGCCUUCCAUCUUGGGAAACAUGGCUCCGUAACUCAUCAGGCUGCUCUUAUGUGGAACAGACUAACCAGGUCUGGAUUUUCUACAAUCAAAAUGCAAUUCUUCUAUUAGGAAAAAAAAGGCCCAAUAAUAGAGAAUUAAG